ACGGAAGGCAGCAGUGGGGAAUAUUGCACAAUGGGCGAAAGCCUGAUGCAGCGACGCCGCGUGGGGGAUGACGGUCUUCGGAUUGUAAACCCCUUUCAGUAGGGACGAAGCGCAAGUGACGGUACCUGCAGAAGAAGCACCGGCCAACUACGUGCCAGCAGCCGCGGUAAUACGUAGGGUGCGAGCGUUGUCCGGAAUUACUGGGCGUAAAGAGCUCGUAGGCGGUUUGUCGCGUCGUCCGUGAAAACUCGGAGCUUAACUCCGAGCUUGCGGGCGAUACGGGCAGACUUGAGUACUACAGGGGAGACUGGAAUUCCUGGUGUAGCGGUGAAAUGCGCAGAUAUCAGGAGGAACACCGGUGGCGAAGGCGGGUCUCUGGGUAGUAACUGACGCUGAGGAGCGAAAGCAUGGGGAGCGAACAGGAUUAGAUACCCUGGUA
rnacentral:rRNA from 1 species